AGGAAGAAGUGCACAGAAUGAAAUACGGGAGAGGAGAAGAGAGAUGGAGGGAGAAACAUCCGUGAGCUCUGGAUACAUCCUACCCAACAGGGACCUUCCUGUCUCCAGCAAUUCAGAUCUCUGCACCCAUUCGAGUUUCCCUUUGAAUGUCAGCAUGAAGAUUUCACUGUGUAUGUAAUACUGAGAGAGACCAUAGGGAAGGCCACAAAAGUCAUCUGUUUCUUGGUCUCUGUGCACCUUUGCUCCCUCCAGAGUAUAGCUUCCAGAGGUCUUGGCCCAGGGUCUCUUCUUCCUUAUCGUUGAUGUGGGAGGAAUCAGAGCAGCAGCAACUUUAUGUAUCAUGGUUCACAAGCAGUAAGGCAUUGCAUGUACAUCGAGGGAUGCUUCUCUAUUCCACUUACUAAGAUGUAUUUGCUACGACACGUGGGCUUUCACCCUGAUAUACCACCCUCGCCAGAGUCCUAAACAAAUGGGCUGUCUCAUCUUGGACUUCAACCUCCAGAAGUAUAAACCAAAAACAAGAAAGCAAACAAGAAAACAAAACAACAAACAGACAAAACAAACUCUCUUUGCCUCAUAAAUAGCCUACAUCAGAUGUUUCAUGUAUAGUGGUGCAAAGUUAUACAUCCUUCUACGUUUCAUAAUUGGUGGCUCCUUAUUUGAAGAAAUAUAUAUAUGGACUGUAUCACAGCUGAAGAGCCUGCCAUCCCCUAUGAUGGGUCUGUUGUGACUAUAGAGAUGAAACCCAAGACAUCUACAGGGAGAGAUCUGAGAGGACAGAUGGCAGAAAAACAAAUUGCCCAGCUGCCUAGAGCAACAGGUAGAUGCCCACGGAGCCAGGGCAGGAAAGGUUUCCUUUGGCAAUGGCACAUACAUGUUGGCUCAUAGGUUAAAGGGAUGGAGCCCAAAAAAUGCAGUCUCCCUAGGGUCUAGCCUUCUUUGUCUUAUCUUGUGACUUGGAACAUUUUAGGGUGAUCCUGCUCCAGGAUCAGUCCACCUUUUUCAACAGCCACCACGAAGUUCAAGUGAAAGCGUCAGGCUCAGGCAAGGAGGAAGGGGCUGGUAAGUCUUAGGAUUUAUGCAUCGUUCUCCGGAGGCUUCAGCAGUUAGU